CCUACGGGCGGCAGCAGUGGGGAAUAUUGGGCAAUGGGCGCAAGCCUGACCCAGCAACGCCGCGUGAAGGAAGAAGGCUUUCGGGUUGUAAACUUCUUUUCUCAGGGACGAAGAAAGUGACGGUACCUGCUGAAUAAGCCACGGCUAACUACGUGCAAGCAGCCGCGGUAAUACGUAGGUGGCAAGCGUUAUCCGGAUUUACUGGGUGUAAGGGGCGUGUAGGCGGGACGGCAAGUCAGAUGUGAAAACCACGGGCUCAACCUGUGGCCUGCAUUUGAAACUGUAGGUCUUGAGUACUGGAGAGGCAGACGGAAUUCCUAGUGUAGCGGUGAAAUGCGUAGAUAUUAGGAGGAACACCAGUGGCGAAGGCGGUCUGCUGGACAGCAACUGACGCUGAGGCGCGAAAGCGUGGGGAGCAAACAGGAUUAGAUACCCCAGUAGUC
rnacentral:rRNA from 1 species